rnacentral:rRNA from 1 species
UACGGAGGGGGCUAGCGUUGUCCGAAGUUACUGGGCGUAAAGCGCGCGUAGGCGGGUUGGUAAGUCCGCUGUGAAAGCCCGGAGCUUAACUCCGGAGGGUCGGUGGAUACUGCCAGUCUUGAAGGUGCUAGGGGGGAGAUGGAAUUACCGGUGUAGCGGUGAAAUGCGUAGAUAUCGGUAGGAACACCAGUGGCGAAGGCGGUCUCCUGGGGCAUUCUUGACGCUGAGGCGCGAAAGCUAGGGGAGCAAACGGG